GGGGGAGGGGGGCAACAGGAGUGAAAUUUGCUGACCCAGGGAGGAGGGGUCCCACUUUGGUGACUCUCCAUCAGAAGCCACAUCUGCUCUCAAUCAUCAGGGAUGAAUGUCCCAGAAUCGGCAAAACUAGAAUCCAUUUCGUUUUAGCUUCGUCUGGCCCAGGUGACCCGCUGGUAACGAGCAUGCAGAUGAAAUACCAAAUACGAGGAGAAAUGAGGCCAUAAACACACAAACAGACACCAGACAUAAAGUGCUUUUGCCGCACAACAGUGCAGAAGUAGGAGUGUCUUCAGCUGCCUAGAGAGAGUGAAGGGAUCACGUGGCAUUUCCUCUCCGGGGUCACCCUUCAUUCCCGUGAGACUGGAACAUUCCGGGGCCGUCUGGACCGGCCUGCCGAGGCACCUUCCUGCCAAGGGAUUCUGCCGUCACCCCACCACUGGCUCCUGACGGACAUGGAUGCAAAUGUAAGACUCCUGGGAACUUUCUGGAAUUUUGUAUGGCUGUGACAGUCAAUAGUGACUUCAGACAUACUGCGAGAACAUCAUUUGUAAAUUAAAAGUAUCAAAAACAUGCAAACUGUUUUAAUCCUGAAAGAGUUUUCUCUUCGCAGCUGCGCGGCUGUGCUGAGAUGCCCUUGCAGGGUACAAAAAAAACGUUUUUUCCAAUACGAAUUAUUCAUCUUUUUUGGUACAGUGGUGAAAUCUCUUUGCAAAGAAUAAUCUUUCAUCAAAUGUGCUGCCAGCGUUCCGUCCUGCUGCUGUUGAACUGAGGACUGACCCACACUGUUGUGUCCUUUGCGUGUGUUUGUUUGAAGCAUUCCUCCCCUCUGGGGGGCCAGAAAGACAAUAGUGUACAGCGGGGGUGAAAAAAAAUACCCUUUAUCUCAGGGGAUGGAAGAGGAGCCGCUGGUUUGUGUGUCUCUCUGCUGGUGCGUCUGUGUCUGUUGGAAUGAUCCACCCAGGUUUCACGGGGCUGGUGCUGCAAGAUGAGAGCGGAGCCCUGAUACUGUAGGUUUGCAGAUCCAUGGCACAUCUGCAAGUUUGGACACCCAUCCGAAACCUGGACCGUAUCUCCCCUACAAUGAACUUUUGAGGAACAUACUAUAAUAUCAUGCUAAUAAUUAUAAUAAUCAUCAUCGAUCCAUCCAUUCAUCCAUGCAUCCAUCCAAGUAUCCAUCCAUGCAUCCAUCCUUCCAUCCAUACCCACUUGUUUUAUGCACUGCUGCUAUUGUACAAUUGUACGGCUUGUGCUUGGGUAGUAUGAUAAAGCAGAAUAGGUAACAAUAGAACACAUAUUCCAAACUUCACAUACACAGCUCUGGUUGUGCAGUAAUUCUUCUAUAGGACCGAAACUUUUUGUUCAACGAGAAAUGUGAUGGAAACUUGUUUAUGCAACGGUAGUGGAACAUUCAAGGAACACUUUAUUUGUAGCAUAAGCAUUUAAAUCUCUGGAAAUGUGUUUAUAAAAUGUGCUCUGUUGUGCUGAAGUCUUCAGAGGGCUGCUCUCCAGAGUGCAGGGUUUGUUUCCCUCAUAGCUGGGAUUUUGUUUCAUAUCAUAAUGUUUAAAUGAGGUUGCUUUUUUCUGUGAGCAAGGCCUCCGGAAUGGUUGGUAGUUUUCUUGCUCUGCGCAACGAGAGUUUCGAGUUUGAUUAGGGCCCCAAUAACUGUCUGUGUAAGGCUGCUUCUGCCCCUUGUGUUUGAUAUUUGCUGCAUGUCAAGGGUCGAUUCUGAUGAAUUGCUGUUUGUUGCUGUGCGAUGGAUUUGUCUGCUGGUUCUGUUCAAUGCUGCCUACCUUAAAAACUGUUUGUUAAAACUGGGCAGAUCAGCUAGUUACGCGUUGCACAAAUCAGUGAUUUUGGUUUUCCAUGUUGCAUGAUCCUUGGGCAUAUUUUGAUCCAUUUUGGUCUUUCUGAUUAUGGGAACAAUGUCAUCUCUGCAGUGAGAAGCAGAUCACUAUUUAUUCAUGGAAAAAAAUCCAUUACUGUGCUUUCAUUACUGAGGUGUAGAAUGCUAAAAAAACAAAAUAUUUCUUUAUUUCUCAUUCUCCUGACAAUCUGACAAUUUUUGUCCUCUUCUUGGACUUAAUCACUCUAAAGAUUAUUAUGUUUUAGGUAUUUUAUUUGCUCCUAUGUAGUAAUAUGAAUCAUAAUUUCUGCGUGGCUAAAUCUGUGUGAAUGGAUGGCCAGUGUUGACAUCAUUCUUUUGCCAGCUCUGCUCAUUAAAAGUGUUUCCCUUGCAAGCUGACAAUGCAACUCUGUCAGUGUAGCUCUAGUGUAGUGUUGAAACUCAGAGUAGCAGAUCCCGUGACUUUCCAGCCUAGGUGCCAUGCAGGCAGCUGAGGGGCAACACUGCUGAUUUAACAUGAAAUUUAUUUGUGAGUCAGGCAUUUGUUUGUCUUUGAUGGUAUUUUACGGGGAAAUCCCCUGGGGGUUCCCAACAGGUAGCUGAUAGGCUCCUGUGCAGACUCUGCACUUUAAGCCUCCUCUCCCCUAAGCCUGACUGACCAUAAACUGAAAACAGGCUUCCUUGCUGGUUGAUCCUUUUACCACCCUGUGUUGCCUAUUACCUAGAAAGGCUUAAAUGGGGGCAUUUAUGAAAACAUGUGACCAUGCAAACUGUGUUCUGGACUUGUUUGAUCUCUCAUUGUAUUAUUUCGAGCCCACAAGUUUAAAUGAUCUAAAUUACCUAUGUGUAAAUGACCUCCCGGAUCCAUUACGGCACAGACUGCCUCUCCGCCAUUUUCAUUUUAUGGUCUAUGCAAUGUGACAUGUGAUUUAAUCAUGCAAUGAACAAAUGCAUUGUAUAAGACCUUUGUUGACAUUUUAUCAAAGCUUUGUCAUCUUUGGGAGAUGUGUUUUUCCAUAAGUGCAGACAUAUUAAGUAAAAGUUGAAUUAUUUUUUCAGUGGCUACACCAUAAAGUUUAUUUGCAGUGAUAAUGAACAUGUCCAUAACUGCAUGGACUUUUAAUAUAUGUUUAAAUUAAAUGCUUUAUAUAAGUCAGGUUUUAUGUCUAUGUACAAUUUGUCUAUAUUUUAUUUAUAGGUUAACAAUACAUUUAUAGGGUUCCUCCAGGUAUUCCAGUUUCAGUCAUAGCUCACAGACAUGCAGUGCAGUUAGGUGAACUGGUGUAUGUAAGUAUUUUGUGCAGUGGGAUCUCAGAGGAGGGUGCAUGUUGAUGUGACAGAUUAUGGUUCUGCAGUUUAAGUUUCAUCAUCCAAUCUGGGUUACGUUUACCACCAACUGUCUUUCCGUGACGGCACUCGGCUGUGGGCCGGUGUGUGACACUGAAAGCAGAGGAACCGCACUUUUUAGGUCUUCUGCAGAAAGUCGGGUAGAAAUAUUACAUUUUGUCUUCUUAUCAGUUGAUUACAGAUUAUUGUUCAAAUGUUCGCCAUUCCCAAACCACCCAAGGCAACCCUUCCACUGGUCGCAGUGCAUCUCAAGUUACUUUGGCUACUAGAUGAUAAGGGCUGUUUGUCUGUGACUUGUCUCCUCAUGCUAAAGAUAAUAAUUUUGCAGUGAGCAGGGUCUUCAUUAAGUGGUCAUUUAUUUAGUGUCUGGCAUAUUACUCUCAAAAGAGCAGUUUGCAAUUAUAUGACUCUGGUGGCACAGACAACAUGUUCAUUGCUGUUUUCUGCAGCCUUGUGGGGGGGGGGGGUAGUGUUUUAAAGCUAGACUUUAGUGGAUCCCUAGGAAACACCAUCUCUUUGCUCGUUUAUACCAACCCCAUGCUGCGUUUUGGCUUCUCAUCAAAGAAGACCAAGACCCAGGAUUAUAAAGCUAAAAUGUCCAAUACACCUACUGCAGUUGCUCCUUGAUCUUCCCAUUUAUGAAACUUCCGCAGAAGAAAAGAGCAUGCAUAGUGGAAAUGAUGAGGGGCCUUAUUUGACAUGAACCCAAACUCAUUAGUGCUUGUGUAAAUAACCCCCCCACCCCUUCCCCGUUAAAACAAACAGGUCUUUGAAGUAGCAGAGCAUGUGAAAGUGAAGUAUAUUUUAAAUUAUGUCAUUUGAAUGUUAAAAUGACAGUUUUAGAACCCAGAACUUAAAGUUUAUUAAGUAGAAUAUUCUGUCAUUAACACUGCUGGAUUCCAGUUUCAAUUCUGGAAGAUCCAGCUACAAUCAGAUUAUAGUACCAACGUAUGGUAACAAAACUGGUUAAAACUGUAGUUUGCUGCUUGUUGUGGUUUAAUUAAAUUCACCAACUUCAUUUCAUUUGUCUGUAAAGUACAAUGUCAUCUUCUUUGAUAUCUUGUAACUAAGAGCAAAAUCUAAAUGUUUCAAGGAAAUGGUUAGAAUGACCAUGGAUGACUUGUCUAAGGCUGACCCGGGUAGCCAAGGUCGAGUCGGUGGUCACUCACAUGCAGAUGCACUGCGGGACAAAAUACAGUUCAUAAGUUGGCUUGAACUGCACUUCUGCCGUUUGCUUAGGAAGACGGAAGGUAAGACAGAAUUGUGGAAGAAAGUCAAAGAAUCCUGAAGAAUCCCCCAUGAAAAACAGAAUGAAUAUCUGAACUCCUUUACUUUAGUGUGAGACACUAUUCUAUGUCAGAUGUUUCCCAUUAUGAAAAAGUCUUGGAUUUCUCUCCGUAUUUCCACUCUCAAGCUGAUUUUUCGAGGCAGACAUUCCCAGACUUUCAGAAUAUGAGGAACUCAAAGACCUUGUUGGUACUGUCAUAUAUGAAGCUGUAUAUGACUGUCCGCUGCUGUCUUCUCUCAUAUACGUUCAUUUGGUGCAUUGAAGACCUCAGGUUGGCUGGCCUGCUUCUGACAUCACCCCAUUCUUGUGUGCUGCUCUUCACCAGGCCUGUUUUGAUGGUUUGGAAAAAAUGUCCAUCUGCGUUUGUCAUUUAACUUCAGCUCUCUUUGUAGAAUACAGAAAAUGAACCCAACACAAGGAGACUGAAAAAAAUGAAAUCUUUUACUAUUCAGUUAUGUCUAUAGCGGUAUCUUUACCAGUGAGACUGAAUUAACUAAAUCAAUAUUUAAAAAUGUAUAAAAGAUGUUUACAUUUUAAUUAUGACUAUAUGACUAAUUAUAGAAAACAGUUCUGCCUGUGACAAUAGAGACAUGUGAGUUUUAUCAUGUUUCAAACAGACAUAACCAAGCAAAUGAACAAUAUACAUCUAAACACUUAGCCACUAGCUAGCUAAAUGACUAAUUUUUUAACAUGAAUUUAUUAAUGAAUUGCUGUGAA